rnacentral:lncRNA from 1 species
GGUCUGGUCUGUGUUCCUUACCCAAACAAAGCUUAGAGACUCCUCCAUGUAUGAGUGUAUUUGGCAAGAAAGAAAAACCUUAUCAACAGUGUGGCUUAAAGUCCAGGGUAAGUGUUGCGUUAAUGGAAAUUGGAAGAGUCGUCUUCAACCCUUGCUGACGUGUUCUCAUCUUCACCUCCAAGAACCCCGCGUCGAGCCCUAUAGAACAGUACAUGCAGGUACGAGGGUGGACCUACCAUGCUAUAUCGAAAGCUCAAGAAUCCCAUCCAACUACCUGGAAGUGUGGUGGACCAAGGAUGGCAUCACUUUAAGUUCAAUGAACGAAGGUGUUCUACCUGGUGUUUAUGUUUUGAAUGUCACAGAGGAGGAGUUCCAGCUUCAAAUGACAC